CGGGUACAAUCCAGGAAGCUUUGUCGUGUACACUCUCUUAGAACAGUCCGUGUGGGGGAGCGCGCCGACCCAACCGACCGCACCCUAUUUGGUGUCGGUGCGUCGCCCAGCAGAAGAGGUAAGGUUAGACGUAGUCAAGCAGAUUGUCGCCGCCGGCACGACAAGGCCGCGGCCGCUCUACAGAUGGUUACCACAGCUCUAAUUACCCUAAAGACGACGCAGGCCACGCUCCUCGUGAAGGCAGAACGGUAACCUCAGGGUCCUAAGGUACUCGCAGGGUUUGCUGCACAAGCGACGGCGGCCAACACGAGCCGGCGUACACCUACGUCACCACCCGCUCCACACGAGACUUCGGUGGUCGCCGACCUGCGCGUCCCAGUCCCACCCAUUUCGAGGGCUCCUCUCCCUCUACUUAGGUUUGUCCUAAAGUCGAGGGCUUCACAUGUUUAACACCAGACGAACCCGUAGCUGCGUUAUUGACACCGUGCUCCUUUAGACCUGGAAAACUUGGCUUGAAAGAGAUUCCUUGAUUUAAGUAUUCAGCACGACAAAGAAACAGUCCUGACAGAAUAACACGUUAGUAGUAACACAGUAAACGUGAGCCAACUGUUAAUUUUGACAAAAUAAACCAGACAAUACUAGUAAUAACACAAUCAAAGUAAACUCUGCAACGAAUAAAAAAAGCACGAUCACAACCAAAGUAAACUCUGUGAUUCGACUUUGAAUGGGUAGUACUACCGACCAACUCGAACGGAAAACCAACACAAACUAACACAGGAAACCAGCCGGAGUACAUUGCUCUUUGUCAAGUUUCUUAUGACUAGAGCCACUAGAUACCGAGGGUACACAUGGAUUGAGACUU
rnacentral:rRNA from 1 species